rnacentral:tRNA from 1 species
GUGUCGAUGAUUGAAUGAUGAAGAUGCUCGCCUGAAAUGCGGGAGAUUCAAGUUCGAAUCUCGGCUGAAGCA